rnacentral:lncRNA from 1 species
AUGAUCUACCAUUUCAUCCCACCAAGGGUUUAUCAGAAGAUAUAUAUGUAUGUGCAUAUAGAGAGAGAGAGGAAAAAAAAACUGAUCAAAACAAUAAGGAUUUUAUUAUUCACUACCUUGUAUUUUAUCAAUAUCAUUUCUUUACCUAAAAUCAUCAUCAAGGAACUUUUGUUCCAACUCUAUUUUGUGUCUGUUUUGCUCUGGGAUAAAUUUUUCCUUCUGUUUUGGGGUUGGCAUUGUUUUAAUUUUAGUUUUGAAUUUUUUUUGGGGGGGGGGGAGAAGGACUAACACAUCCAAAACUAUUUUUCUGCUAGUUAUACAGUUUAUUAAAACACAUGGUAUACAGAUGCUGAUGCUCUGUGUGACACUUUAUUUAGAUGGAUGUGAGGCAUUAGACUGAAACUUGCCCUAGUAUACUGAUUCACCUAACUGGAGAAGCAGCAUGGACCGUUCCGUAUUGUAUCUGGGCCAAAAGCAUAUUGCAGUCACUGGCAGAUCUUCUUUUGUAUUAAUUUAUUGGGCUUCAGACUAAGCCUUGAGACCAACAGUUUAUUCUCUGUUCAUGUUCAUCAGUUCUCAGCCACUGCUAAAGCUUAGGACCCAGUAAAUGCAGGGUUUUUUUUUAGCCAGGUUGCCCCAUGAAAGUAAGGUGGUUAUUCACUCUUUUUUCUAGCAACUGCCAUGAAGGCCCUUUCCUUUGAAGCAAGGCAGCAGGCGAGUAUGUUCCCACCUAGUAUUUGCCACAAUAUUCAGUAUCUGGGUUUCGGUGGGUGGCGGAGGAGGGCACGAUUUGCUCCCUUCGUACUCUGACAGCAAGAUGUGCAGGUUUGCCACCUAAGGUGCAUUGAGCCAGCUCUCCAAAGCAGUGAGUGUCAUGGUUUUAAAAACCAUGCUGGGGCACAAGUUGCAGUCCUCACCUCAUCCACCCUUGUGUUCAGGCUGCCUGCAGACUCAGGUGGCUGUGACCACUUUGGUUCAUGUUUGUCUCAUUGCAGACUGUUCUUCCCUCUGAGGAGGAACGGGCACUUUCUUCCUUGGUUCUUUUUAAGGGUAGAGUGAAGGGCUGCUAGACUUGCACCAAGUACAAGGCUGCGUGCGCUAGGCUUGGGCCUACAGGAAAUGUCCAGAUCUUAUUUUGCCUGAGUUCACAAUGGAAUAAAGUCAUGUUUGAGAGAAAACCUUGGCUGAGA